CUAAUACAUGCAAGUCGAGCGAACUGAUUAGAAGCUUGCUUCUAUGACGUUAGCGGCGGACGGGUGAGUAACACGUGGGCAACCUGCCUGUAAGACUGGGAUAACUUCGGGAAACCGAAGCUAAUACCGGAUAGGAUCUUCUCCUUCAUGGGAGAUGAUUGAAAGAUGGUUUCGGCUAUCACUUACAGAUGGGCCCGCGGUGCAUUAGCUAGUUGGUGAGGUAACGGCUCACCAAGGCAACGAUGCAUAGCCGACCUGAGAGGGUGAUCGGCCACACUGGGACUGAGACACGGCCCAGACUCCUACGGGAGGCAGCAGUAGGGAAUCUUCCGCAAUGGACGAAAGUCUGACGGAGCAACGCCGCGUGAGUGAUGAAGGCUUUCGGGUCGUAAAACUCUGUUGUUAGGGAAGAACAAGUACAAGAGUAACUGCUUGUACCUUGACGGUACCUAACCAGAAAGCCACGGCUAACUACGUGCCAGCAGCCGCGGGUAAUACAA
rnacentral:rRNA from 1 species